rnacentral:rRNA from 1 species
AAGACCUGUAUCUAUAAUUGCUAACGGCUUAUUCGUAAGGACUGAGCACAUUAUAGAGACUGCCUUCGUAAGGAGGAGGAAGGUGCAGGCAACGGUAGGUCUGUAUGCUCCGAAUCUUCUAGGCUACACGCGCGCAACAGUGGUAAAGACAAUGGGAUGCAACUCCGAAAGGAGAAGCUAAUCCUCGAAACUUUAUCGUAGUUUAGAUUGUGGGUUGCAACUCACCCACAUGACAACGGAAUCGCUAGUAAUCAGGUCUCAUCAUGGCCUGGUGAAUGU